rnacentral:misc_RNA from 1 species
UCCGAGUUGACCCCGGCAGUCUCCCACGAGUCCCCGGCAUAACCCGCUGGCAACGUAGGACAAGGGUUGCGCUCGUUGCGGGACUUAACCCAACAUCUCACGACACGAGCUGACGACAGCCAUGCACCACCUGCACACCAACCACAAGGGAAGCCCCAUCUCUGGGGAUGUCUGGCGCAUGUCAAGCCCAGGUAAGGUGGGGAUGACGUAUGGAAUGUCGAUA